GGACGGGUGAGUAAUGUCUGGGAAACUGCCUGAUGGAGGGGGAGUAACUACUGGAAACGGUAGCUAAUACCGCAUAACGUCGCAGACCAAGAGGGGGACCUUCGGGCCUCUUGCCAUCAGAUGUGCCCAGAUGGGAUUAGCUAGUAGGUGGGGUAACGGCUCACCUAGGUGACGAUCCCUAGCUGGUCUGAGAGGAUGACCAGCCACACUGGAACUGAGACACGGUCCAGACUCCUACGGGAGGCAGCAUG
rnacentral:rRNA from 1 species